UACGAAGGGGGCUAGCGUUGUUCGGAUUUACUGGGCGUAAAGCGCGCGUAGGCGGCCCGGUAAGUCCGCUGUGAAAGUCAAAGGCUCAACCUUUGAAAGCCGGUGGAUACUGUGGGGCUAGAGUCCGGAAGAGGCGAGUGGAAUUCCUGGUGUAGCGGUGGAAUGCGCAGAUAUCAGGAGGAACACCAAUAGCGAAGGCAGCUCGCUGGGACGGUACUGACGCUAAGGCGCGAAAAGCGUGGGGAGCGAACAGG
rnacentral:rRNA from 1 species